rnacentral:lncRNA from 1 species
GGCAAUUUUGUGAGACAACGAGAGUCUCUUGGGUGUGCGUGUGAUCAAGUUUUUGUGAGGAACCUGCAUGAUCUUGCGCAUGAAGUAAAUAUUUUUGGACAGUUUCUUCUCUGGACGGCGUUACAAGUACAGGCAAGCGGGUAUCAACGGUUGUUAUUGCUGUACUUUGUGGUGUUGUGAUUCACCAGUGCGGAUCGAAGAGCACCGUUUUCUCCAGCCCGGAUUCUACAAUUUGGAGAUGGUGUACAAGGCGAUGUGCAAGUGCAUUUCACACCUUGGGGAGCUGCAAGAUAUGCUUUCACAAUCCUUGCUGCAAGUGUUCAAAUAAAGGGUUUCAAGUUUCA